rnacentral:rRNA from 1 species
GUGAACGCUGGCGGUAGGCCUAACACAUGCAAGUCGAACGUCAGCACAGUAAGAGCUUGCUCUUACGGGUGGCGAGUGGCGGACGGGUGAGGAAUACAUCGGAAUCUACUUUUUCGUGGGGGAUAACGUAGGGAAACUUACGCUAAUACCGCAUACGACCUACGGGUGAAAGCAGGGGAUCUUCGGACCUUGCGCGAUUGAAUGAGCCGAUGUCGGAUUAGCUAGUUGGCGGGGUAAAGGCCCACCAAGGCGACGAUCCGUAGCUGGUCUGAGAGGAUGAUCAGCCACACUGGAACUGAGACACGGUCCAGACUCCUACGGGAGGCAGCAGUGGGGAAUAUUGGACAAUGGGCGCAAGCCUGAUCCAGCCAUACCGCGUGGGUGAAGAAGGCCUUCGGGUUGUAAAGCCCUUUUGUUGGGAAAGAAAAGCAGCAGGUUAAUACCCCGCUGUUCUGACGGUACCCAAAGAAUAAGCACCGGCUAACUUCGUG